AAGCGCACCAGCCCAGCCGGCUCCUGAACGAGGGCCGCCGGCUGUAGGGCUCCGCGUCGGGCUAGCGGUGCCUGGAAUGAGGCUCAGGCGCUGUGGUCCGGCUGGGAAGCCGCGUGGGGCUUAGGCCGCGAAGAGGGACCGGGGACCCGGCCGCCUGAGCCGCGCGGCGUAGGGAAACGGGGAGAGAGGGGGAGGGGGGCGCGGUGAGUCGUCCCCACCACCGUCCCGGCCGCCAGGCCCCCAGCUCUCGCCGGCGUUCUCUGUUCGUUUGUUGUUUGUUUUUUGUUUUUAAACAGUAGCAUCAAUCUAAACUAUUAACCCGUGUCAGCGAAACUAUCAAAGGUUCCUAUACUUGAGCUUCCAACUUCCAAGGAGUCAAAGCAUGUGUGGCUUACUGUCAACACAUUCCUGAAAUCAACAGCAACUUCUGAAAGCCCGCCUCUUCCCUGCUCACCGGUUCUCUAACAGGAUCACAACCACUGUCCCAAAAGCUCCAUUGUAGAGGUUGAAACUCAUGGAGAUGUUAGACAUUCUCAGAGACCAGUCCAUCAUCUGCCACCGGCUGGACCCAGCGGACAUUAGUGCUGCCUGCCAUCCAAGAAUCUGUGAUGGGCACUGAUUACUUGCCCCAGAGCUCUACCCCCAUUACCAACCCUGCUUUCUGCUUCAGCUCAUUCUUUUUCGCCUGGAAGAGGCCUUCACGGUGCCCAGCUCUUAACUCCAAGCAGCUUAAGGAAGUCAACUGGGAAGAGCGGCUUGGCAGGGAAACGGCAGCAAUCUAGAGCAGAGCAGCAGUGUGGGGCUUGAGUUAUUUGAAAACAGCCAAGUCAUAUUCUUCUGAUUCUCAGUGGAUGUUAAACGUGCACACACACAUGAUUUCCCCUAUCAGGCCAGGGAGCAGAGCCAGGACAUUGGGACAUAGUUGGAACAUUGCUUAUGAGCAUGCUGCCUCUGACC